AACGAACGCUGGCGGCAUGCCUAACACAUGCAAGUCGAACGAGAUCUUCGGGUCUAGUGGCGCACGGGUGCGUAACGCGUGGGAAUCUGCCCUUUGGUUCGGAAUAACAGUUGGAAACGACUGCUAAUACCGGAUGAUGACGAAAGUCCAAAGAUUUAUCGCCAGAGGAUGAGCCCGCGUAGGAUUAGCUAGUUGGUGUGGUAAAGGCGCACCAAGGCGACGGUCCUUAGCUGGUCUGAGAGGGUGAUCAGCCACACUGGGACUGAGACACGGCCCAGACUCCUACGGGAGGCAGCAGUGGGGAAUAUUGGACAAUGGGCGAAAGCUUGAUCCAGCAAUGCCGCGUGAGUGAUGAAGGCCUUAGGGUUGUAAAGCUCUUUUACCCGGGAUGAUAAUGACAGUACCGGGAGAAUAAGCUCCGGCUAACUCCGUGCCAGCCGCCGCAGUAA
rnacentral:rRNA from 1 species